rnacentral:rRNA from 1 species
ACGACUGCUAAGACUGGAUAGGAGAUAAGAAGGCAUCUUCUUAUUUUUAAAAGACCUAGCAAUAGGUAUGCCUAGAGAGGAGCUUGCGUCACAUUAGUUAGUUGGUGGGGUAAAAGCCUACCAAGACGAUGAUGUGUAGCCGGGCUGAGAGGUCAAACGGCCACAUUGGGACUGAGACACGGCCCAAACUCCUACGGGAGGCAGCAGUAAGGAAUUUUCGGCAAUGGAGGAAACUCUGACCGAGCAACGCCGCGUGAACGAUGAAGUAUUUCGGUACGUAAAGUUCUUUUAUUAGGGAAGAAAAGAUGGUGGAAAAACCAUUAUGACGGUACCUAAUGAAUAAGCCCCGGCUAACUAUGUGCCAGCAGCCGCGGUAAUACAUAGGGGGCAAGCGUUAUCCGGAAUUAUUGGGCGUAAAGGGUGCGUAGGCGGUUAAAUAAGUUUAUGGUCUAAGUGCAAUGCUUAACGUUGUGAUGCUAUAAAAACUGUUUAGCUAGAGUUGGAUAGAGGCAAGUGGAAUUCCAUGUGUAGUGGUAAAAUGCGUAAAUAUAUGGAGGAACACCAGGAGCGAAGGCGGCUUGCUGGGUCUUAACUGACGCUGAGGCACGAAAGCGUGGGGAGCAAACAGGAUUAGAUACCCUGGUAGUCCACGCCCUAAACGAUGAGUACUAAACGUUGGGUAAAACCAGUGUUGAAGUUAACACAUUAAGUACUCCGCCUGAGUAGUACGUACGCAAGUAUGAAACCUAAAGGAAUUGACGGGACUCCGCACAAGCGGUGGAUCAUGUUGUUUAAUUCGAAGGUACCCGAAAAACCUCACCAAGUCUUGACAUGCUUUUGCAAAGUUGUAGAAAUACAGUGGAGGUUAUCAAUUGCACAGGUGGUGCAUGGUUGUCGUCAGCUCGUGUCGUGAGAUGUUGGGUUAAGUCCCGCAACGAGCGCAACCCUUGUUGUUAUUGCCAGCAUGUAUGAUGGGGACUUUAGCAGACUGCCAGUGAUUAAUGAAGGAAAGUUGGGGACGACGUCAAAUCAUCAUGGCCCCUUAUUGACCUGGGGCUACAAACGUGAUACAAUGGCUGUUACAAAGGGUAGCUAUAGCGUAAGCUUUUGGCGAAUCUCAAAAAAGCAGUCUCAGUUCGGAUUGAAGUCUGCAACUCGACUUCAUGAAGAUGGAAUCGCUAGUAAUCGCGAAUCAGCAUGUCGCGGUGAAUACGUUCGCGGGGUUUGUACACACCGCCGUCA